ensembl:misc_RNA Metazoa_SRP Metazoan signal recognition particle RNA
GCCAGGCAUGGUGGCACGUGCCUGUAGUCCCAGCUACUCGGGAGGCUGAGGUGGGAGGAUUGCUUGAGCCCAGGAGUUCUGGGCUGUAGUGCGCUAUGCCGAUCGGGUGGCCACACUAAGUUCGGCAUCAAUAUGGUGACCUCCCGGGAGCGGAGGACCACCAGGUUGCCUAAGGAGGGGUGAACAGGCCCAGGUUGGAAACGGAGCAGGUCAAAACUCCCGUGCUGAUCAGUAGUGGGAUUGCGCCUGUGAAUAGCCACUCCACUCCAGCCUGGGCAACAUAGCAAGACUCCGUCUCU